GAUGAACGCUGGCGGUGUGCCUAAUACAUGCAAGUCGAGCGAACAGACGAGGAGCUUGCUCCUCUGACGUUAGCGGCGGACGGGUGAGUAACACGUGGAUAACCUACCUAUAAGACUGGGAUAACUUCGGGAAACCGGAGCUAAUACCGGAUAAUAUAUUGAACCGCAUGGUUCAAUAGUGAAAGACGGUUUUGCUGUCACUUAUAGAUGGAUCCGCGCCGCAUUAGCUAGUUGGUAAGGUAACGGCUUACCAAGGCAACGAUGCGUAGCCGACCUGAGAGGGUGAUCGGCCACACUGGAACUGAGACACGGUCCGGACUCCUACGGGAGGCAGCAGUAGGGAAUCUUCCGCAAUGGGCGAAAGCCUGACGGAGCAACGCCGCGUGAGUGAUGAAGGUCUUCGGAUCGUAAAACUCUGUUAUUAGGGAAGAACAAAUGUGUAAGUAACUAUGCACGUCUUGACGGUACCUAAUCAGAAAGCCACGGCUAACUACGUG
rnacentral:rRNA from 1 species